UUGAAUGGUCUUUGACCUUCUACCCCUCAAACCUGUGGAAGCUAAAAACGUGCUUCGGCGUCCCUCUCGGGCGCCGCUUUUAUGCAUAAAUCCGUGUGUCGUCUGAAUAAUACACAAGAAUCA
rnacentral:misc_RNA from 1 species